rnacentral:rRNA from 1 species
AUUGAACGCUGGCGGCAUGCCUUACACAUGCAAGUCGAACGGCAGCACGGGUGCUUGCACCUGGUGGCGAGUGGCGAACGGGUGAGUAAUACAUCGGAUCGUACCUUAUCGUGGGGGAUAACAAAUUGAAAAAUUUGCUAAUACCGCAUAAUACUCUGAGGAGGAAAGCGGGGGAUUCGUAAGACCCUCGUGCGAUUAGAGCGGCCGAUGGCUGAUUAGCUAGUUGGUGAGGUAAAGGCCCACCAAGGCAACGAUCAGUAGCAGGUCUGAGAGGAUGAUCUGCCACACUGGAACUGAGAGACGGUCCAGACUCCUACGGGAGGCAGCAGUGGGGAAUUUUGGACAAUGGACGAAGGUCUGAUCCAGCAAUGCCGCGUGAGUGAAGAAGGCCUUCGGGUUGUAAAGCUCUUUUGUCAGUGAAGAAAACUUUAAUAAUAACACUAUUAAAGCAUGACGGUAACUGAAGAAUAAGGACCGGCUAACUACGUGCCAGCCGCCGCAGUAA